ACUCCUACGGGAGGCAGCAGUGGGGAAUAUUGGACAAUGGGGGAAACCCUGAUCCAGCCAUGCCGCGUGUGUGAAGAAGGCCUUCGGGUUGUAAAGCACUUUCAGUGGGGAGGAAAGGUUGUUGGUUAAUACCUAACAGCUGUGACGUUACCCACAGAAGAAGCACCGGCUAACUCCGUGCCAGCAGCCGCGGUAAUACGGAGGGUGCAAGCGUUAAUCGGAAUUACUGGGCGUAAAGCGUGCGCAGGCGGUCUGUUAAGCGAGAUGUGAAAGCCCCGGGCUCAACCUGGGAACUGCAUUUCGAACUGGCAGACUAGAGUCUUGUAGAGGGGGUAGAAUUCCAGGUGUAGCGGUGAAAUGCGUAGAGAUCUGGAGGAAUACCGGUGGCGAAGG
rnacentral:rRNA from 1 species